rnacentral:lncRNA from 1 species
CAGAGACAUUUCAAACUGCAAAAGGAAUUAGGACCCUCUUGUUCAGUUCAGGCUGAUUGAGACCACCAACCCAUAAACUGGGCCUGCACAGAUGUCUCAUAAGUGACCUGUUAACUUCAAGGGGCUACCCUCAGAUCCUGCUCUGCCAUUUUGUGAACAUGAGUCCUAUGAAGAGGCCUGGAGUCUGACUACGCUUGCACAGAUCAUCAAUUACCUCACUGCUCCUCACCUCCAAUCACCUCUCUCCACAUUUCAGACUACCUUCUCCCCUACUCCAUAAAUAUCCCUG